AGUCAACAUGCCCAGGGGACGUGGAUAACCUCGGGAAACUGAGGAUAAACCGCGAUAGGUCAUCACUUCUGGAAUGGGUAAUGACUUAAAUCUAUAUGGCCCCUGGAUUGGACUGCGGCCGAUCAGGCUGUUGGUGAGGUAAUGGCCCACCAAACCUGUAACCGGUACGGGCUCUGAGAGGAGGAGCCCGGAGAUGGGCACUGAGACAAGGGCCCAGGCCCUAUGGGGCGCAGCAGGCGCGAAACCUCUGCAAUAGGCGAAAGCUUGACAGGGUUACUCUGAGUGAUUUCCGUUAAGGAGAUCUUUUGGCACCUCUAAAAAUGGUGCAGAAUAAGGGGUGGGCAAGUCUGGUGUCAGCCGCCGCGGUAAUACCAGCACCCCGAGUGGUCGGGACGUUUAUUGGGCCUAAAGCAUCCGUAGCCGGUUCUGCAAGUCUUCCGUUAAAUCCACCUGCUUAACAGAUGGGCUGCGGAAGAUACUAUAGAGCUAGGAGGCGGGAGAGGCAAGCGGUACUCGAUGGGUAGGGGUAAAAUCCGUUGAUCCAUUGAAGACCACCAGUGGCGAAGGCGGCUUGCCAGAACGCGCUCGACGGUGAGGGAUGAAAGCUGGGGGAGCAAACCGGAUUAGAUACCCGGGUAGUCCCAGCUGUAAACGAUGCAGACUCGGUGAUGAGUUGGC
rnacentral:rRNA from 1 species